AGGCCCGUAGGAGAAUGGCAUAUCCCGCUCCCUCAAAAGGAGUUGCAUUGUGGGUUCGACUCCCACCGGGCCUACCA
rnacentral:tRNA from 1 species